rnacentral:lncRNA from 1 species
AACCUUUCAGUUUAAGGCUGAUAUUGCCUAACAAAAAAAAUAGUUUUUAUGACUAAGAUAUUUAGUUUCACUGAAAAUGAAACAGAUUUUCAGAUUCCUUCAGUUAUCUUUAAUGUUAAAAUAGUUGCUCAAUUUAGGUGUUUGCUUAUCUAAUGAGGAUUCAAAAGUUGAAUUAGGAUCACAAAAUGACAGUUAAAGACCUGUGAAGGGUCUUUUUUUGUUUGUUCUUUUGAGUCAUGCACAGAAAACACAACCCCUUGCUUUGAAUAUUGGGUAAUAACUUGACCACGUACUAGGAAAACUUGUACUGGAAGAACAUACUUCGUUUCUUAGAUGCAGAACGAGAUGUGUCAGUGGUCAAGAGCAGUUUUAAGCCUGGUGAUGUCAUACACUAUGUGCUUGACAGGCGCCGGACACUAAACAUUUCUCAUGAUCUACAUAGCCUCCUACCUGAAGUUUCACCAAUGAAGAAUCGCAGGUUUAAGACCUGUGCAGUUGUUGGAAAUUCUGGCAUUCUGUUAGACAGUGAAUGUGGAAAGGAGAUUGACAGUCACAAUUU